rnacentral:lncRNA from 1 species
UUGCCUUCUCCACGCAAAACACGGGGUUCUCUCCUCCACAAAAAUAAAACAAAGCAGCACACAUACAUAAUUAAUCACCGAAGAACAUUGCCAAUACGGAAUCAAACAAAGGUCGUCGUCGUCUCACCGAGGUGAACGGCGUCGAUGUUGGGGCUGCGCAGAUCCGGUGAAGCACGCAGUGCGGAGGGGAUCCGGGGCCGCUGUUUUGGAUCGGCACCGCUGCGCAGCGAAGUUGGACGCCAAGGCCACGAGCAGGGGCUUCUUGCUGCUGCACAAGGGGAAAAGAAGGAGGGGGGGGGGGGCGAGCAGAGCUGCUGCUCGGCCAUGGGAGAGAGGGGGCGCUGGGGGAGGGGUGGAGCAGCGGCGCUGCGCAGGAAGGGGCGCCGAGCAUAGGGAACUUCAGGCGCCCAAGCUGCUGGCCGAGCAGAGGUCCGGCCAUGGCUGCCUCUACCCCUGCGCAAGGGAGACCAGGGAUGGACGCCAUGUGCAGGAGCUCGGCUGCAGGGGGGACGCGCCCAUGGGGAAGAGGAGGAGCUGCAGCUCGCCUACACCCUUGGAGCCGAGGAGAGGAAGGGCGCCAUGGGGGGGCUCUGUGUCCUGCUGCAAGCGCCAUGGGAGAGGCUUGCUGCCGUGGAGGCUGUCGGCUGGAGCAGAGGGGCGAGAGGAACUCGUCUGCGCCAAGGAAGGGAGCAGGGAGCGCCAGGGUUGGGUGCUCGGCUGCUCAAGCCUCGUCGGUGCCAUGGGAGGAAGGGAAGGAAGCUCCCUGCGCGUUGGGGAAGAAGGCGUGGGGGAGAAAAGGCUGAUGGCGGCUGGAAAAACAAUAGGGGUGGGAAUGCAAAAUGACCAAGGGCAAGGGAGAGGGAUCCGUAUUUAUAGAGAAACCCUAGGGUUAGGGUUUCAAAUGGGCCCAAUUGGGUUGGUUUGGGCUGGCCCAAACACGCAAAUGGGCUGCGCUAAAUUAUUUUUCCGAAUAAAAAUGCUCCCGCGGAAUUCGUUUCUACAGAGAACAGAGCGAAUUAGAGUUUCGGCGAACGGACGAUUGAGCGAUUAAUUCGGCCGAGAGUUGGAUUUGAUUUCGCUCGGAAAUAAUUCCUCGCACACUAUUUUAAAAAUAAAUGUUUCUCUCAAACUUCUAAUCGGCUUCGGAUUUUUAGUCGGAGAAAUCAGAUUGUGACAUUUUAAAAUCGUUGCCGAUACGGGGUUUUGAGUUCGGUUCAAACAUGAGAUAUUUGGCUGAGUCGAGUAAGAAAUAAUUAGAGGACGACGUACUGAGUAUUCCGUGUGAGAGUACGGAGUCGGAUUAAUUUUUGAACAUAGAUCGAAGGUUGGGGAUUUAGACUUGGGUACAGCUCCACUAACAAUAGUCGAGUGCUUUGAUUAAAUGAUGUUUAGACAAGAUUUUAUAAAUCGAGAAUGAUUAACGAGUUGGCACUCGAGCCGAGAAAUAAAAAGUUUUAACAGGCUCCAAAACUGGUUGUUUCUCGCGAUCGAUUAACUCUGAAUUCGAUGAAAUGUGCACGAAUAGUCUGGAUAAUCAGAGACAUAUGCGAGCGAGAAAUAGAGAUUUUCACUGAGCAUUCGCGUUAGGGACAAAUCUCCCGACAUAACACGAAACUGACACCUGGGGUGUCACAGCCUUCCCCCCUUAAAAAGAAUCUCGUCCCGAGAUUCGAAUGAGAAUAUUUAAGGGUGGAGAAGCAUGUAACUCCCAGACUGAAGAUAGAUGCAAUUUCAUGGGAGGGUAUCUGACAAGAUACUGAAGACAGAUAUGAUUAGAAUAUCGCGACAUAUCGAGACAAAAUGCAGCGAUCAUUCUGAGAGAGUGUCCACAAAAGAUAGCACAUCAGUAUAGUCUCGUAAUGGAUCACGACUAUUAACCGCGAUACCAGCGCGUACCGAGCAGCUCAACCAUGUGUGCACCAUAGUAGGCUCUCGGUCUCGUCGCGGCACCAUCAGUCGUUAGUCAUGACACCAUUACCAAACGUAACCAAUGAAACCCACAUAGCAAUUAUAGAUGGAGCCUAUGAGAGUAUGGCUCAGAAAAUAAGAAUGUGAUCGGAGUUGAAGUAGAGAUUAUUGGCAAAAGAGCAUCACAUGAGAAUUUUUAUUUAACUCAGAGAACUAUUUUGUGAUCAACAUAGAGAUUAUCAGAUCAGAUAUUAGCACGAAAUUUGAUAUGAGGAUGAACCGACCAUGAGAUCAAAAUAGAUUGUUGAGCUUUUAGAGACAUGAGAGAACUAAAGACAAGACUCAAAUCCAUUGAACCAAAUGGAUAUGCCAUUUAGAGAUAAGUUGAUAAAACAAGCGUCAUGAUCCUCGAAGAACGAGUAUGAGCAUUAUUAGAAUUGAGAGAUUUAGGCAUAUCAACAUCCGAUACUUGAGAACGGGUUAUAGCAGAUAACCAGAUAACAGGGCAGAAUCAUUAAAGGAUUCGGAGAUUUGGAGAAUAAGGCAAAUAUGAUUCACAAGAAAAAGGAUUACCAGAUCCAGGCAAAAGGAGAGGUAGGCAAACAGGAUCAGCUGGGAUGAUUAACAGAAAUGCUAUGAAGUUUUAGGAGCAAGGAUUUAUGGAAAGAAACAUGGCCUUGAUAGGGUUUGCGCAACUAGACACCAAACAACAAAUUUUUUUUUGACCCAACAAGUGCACAAGGAGACUGGGGAUGGUCUAGUGGUCAAGCUAUGGGUAUCUCUAUAAGUUGUGCAGGUGUAUUACCAAUGGUGCAACACACAAGGGCUAGAAAACACCAACACAAGCAGGAUUUUUUUUAGAUGUUUCACUUGCUAACCACUAGGGUGGUUAAAGUGGGGGGUCUUUUAUAGGCAAACAGGCAACAUUUUUUUAUUGGCAAAGAGGGUUGAACAAUUACAAUACCACCUAGCUAGCAAGACAAGACAAACACAUAGCACGAACUAACAAGACUUACCAAUCUGACACGGGGUAAGGCAUUUCUAACAUAGCAGUACAUCACACUAUUCACAAGUUUUUAUUAUAGGAAUAAAGGUGAGAGAAGCAGGUUUAUGCACAAGACACAAUUAUAAUGCAACAAUCAUGAUGCAUGCUCAUUCUAGUCGUCUUCUCAGACCUAACUAAUUGUUCGGAUGCUUCUACAACAUCCUUAUUAAUAGUAGUAGUAGCCUUUAUGGCCUAUAUACAUAGCCACCUAGCUACCCAUCUAUUUCCUAAGGCUUCACGUCCUAGGUCUAUCCUUAUCGUACUGAUAUCUAUCCAACAAUGGUUUCUAAGCAAGUUUUACUUUAGAAAAGGUUGGAAAUCAUGACUUAUUGACUUCUCUGUACUGGUAUUCGCUCCGAUACCAGCUGUGGCGGAACCGCCCGAAUUAUUCCAACUUAAGUGCCUAAGUCCCACCUUAGAGGCUAGACCACACUUAAGUAGGAAUAAAACGUCAGUCCCUCGGAUCUAGUCCGAUAAAGCCACUUACCAGGAUCGAAUACCACUAGCUCACUCGAAGGUGAGGCACAGAGAAAGACAAUAAAGCAUAAUACCACAAAUUUAAUAAGUAUCAAUAGUGAUUACAUUAUCGGAGUUUUCAGAAAUAAUAACCAUAAAUUUUAAUGCAGCGGAAAUAACUAACGGAGAAGAACCGAGUAACAUGGCGAAGCCUGGCCACACUACUCCUCCUGGUCCUCUCCUGCGGAAGCAGUAACCCACUCGACCAUCUAUCCCGGUGGCAGGGAUGAAGGCCAAGUCACACCAUCAACCAAAUCAAGGAGGUACCUGCAAAAAUUAUGCCACAAGCAAGGCUGAGUAUACUAAUACUCAGCUAGACUUACCCGGUGUGAGGAGUCUACUCCUCUACCUCUAGACAUGCAGCUGUUUGGCUGAAGGGUUUGGUUUGCCAAAAGCACUAGCUGAGUCUAAAAUCAAGUUUUAGCUUUUCAAGUUUUAGUAUGAUCCUUUUAAGACUAGAUGAGAACCUAGCUAGUCAUACAUGGUAUCAGACAUUUUAUCAAUCAACAUCUUUUGUCAAGUCCACACAUUUCCACUUGUUACUCAAUGUAGCAGCAUGGAUCAAGCAGUCUCAUUAGCUGCGAGAAGCAGACGAUUCGAAUCGAGUUUUUAAACCUUGCAAGGUAAACCUAAACACACGACAUGUAGGGGCACUCCGUCCCCACACACAUCAACCGUCCCCAUCGAUUCCCUGGCAACAGAUCAGGGCUCACCGCCUUGGCGUACAAUGCCCCACUGACCCCGACUGGCCGUCGUGCAGUGACCGCACUUGUACCCACCAUAACCGGAAUGGGAGACCUCGUCUCAGGUCGCGUGAGGGGAUAUGUCUGCGGGCAGGUUCACUCAGGUACUAGGCUUACCGAUUUACCAUAUUUCUCGGUAUGUGUUUAGUACGUUCAAACGCUUGACUCACGGUACCACACCUUAAUCCUUACUCAAAUUUUUAUCCCGUAGACAACCAAUCCCCAUGGAUUGUUGCCCACAAACCAGCAUCAUUAUGAUAAGAAAGUGGAUACAACCAAUUUCCUGAUCUCGCGCGAGUGCUAGAAAAAUCACUCGACUUCUACCGAGAUCCUAAUUAAUAAAGCAGCUACUCGACCUAGCAUACUAGUAUCCAUCUCAAAAGGAAUCCUGAGUUCAUGCAACUAGGGUUUCAGGCAACUCCUACACUUAAGUGCACAGUACAAACCUACAAACAUUAAGUGCAGUAAAAUAGCAUAUAUAACGGUUAUGCAUAAAACCGGGGCUUGCCUUUAAUUUAACACUUAGAUAGUGUUUGCUGGGGAGGUACUCGCUUGGCGAGCAUCCACUGGUUAAGUCCAUCCUUCAGGUCAUCCACCAACUGCGUCUUGUGGUUGCACCACAUCACUGGCUCGAUCAUCAUCUCUCGGUCCUAUAUGAGGUGCAAGAUGCAUAUGUAUGAAUAUAAUGAAAUAACACAAGAUAUACAAAUACACGAUAGCGAACUAAGCACUAAAUUAUACGACACCGUAAUCAACCACAUGCUAGUAUUAGCUAUCUAUACUUCAUCAGGCUUUCAACAUUAACACCAUUGAAAACACAACAACAUUUCAUUUAUUUACGCGACACAACUAUGACAUCACAAGUACGCGCACUUUAUUUAUUUGAAUACGACUUUUCAUUAGUUCUUCUAUUUAUCACACAAAAGCAUCCCAAACACCGAUUUAACAUAGGACCUAUGCAUCAGGGGCUAUGGAAACCCCUAUAUCACAACCAACUAGAGAAGGAAACAUAUAAAACAAGGCACACAUGUCAUCUCUAGCCUAACCAUGGCAAGCCUACAUUACUUAAGAGCAAACCAAACAUUUUUAGCGAGAAGGGUGAACUAAACAUUCCAAAGCGCACUAGCAGAAUUUUUGGACAGCAAUACAGCCGUUACUUGUUUUAAUCAUAACUUUUCAAAUAUUAAUCCAAAACUAGCAAACUAGGACUUUCUGGAAGGCUUAGAAAGUGCUCUACAAUUUUGGUAUUUUCCUCACAGCAUGAUUAAACACUUAGCAAGGUCAAAAAGUGCAAUCACAGCAGCUCUGUCCAGAUUUGGACAGAUUCAGACUUGCAGCUUCAAAAAUUCACAACAAAAGAUUCAGACAUCCAAACAAAGUGAUCCUAGACUUUCUGGAAAGCUAAUUAAAUGUUCUACAAAUUAUUUAUAAACAUCCAUGGCUGAUUUAGCAUGUAUCAAGGGUAAAAUAUACUAUGAAGGCUGUGCUGUCCAAAACUGGACAGAUUCAGUCUUCACACUUCAAACACAUGUAACUUAAUCUUCAGACCACCAAAAAUAGUGAUCCAAGACUUUUUGGAAAGCUUGGGAAAAGUACUACAUAACUUUUAUAAUCACCAAGAAGUGAUUCCAGGUUUAACUAAAUCAAAUAUUACAGUUUUCGAAAUCUGUUCUGACGGUGGACAGAACACAGCAAGCAGUUUGUAGAAUUCAUAGCUCUUAAACUAUCAGGUCUGUGGUUAUGAAAUUUUAACACAGGCAAGAUCAGAAAAGCAUCUACAACUUUCUUAUAAUCGACAAGGACUGAUUCUAACAUUACAUUAGGCAAACAAUGCAGUUUCUGAAAUCUGUACAGAAUUUGGACAGAUUCAGUUACUGAAUUUGUAAAAAUCAUAACUCCUAAACGAUCAGACUUAUGCCUGUCAAAUUUUAACACCAGCAAGAUAAUAAAGUUAUCUACCACUUUUCUAUAGCACAUAUCUACAGAAAAUACAAUUUAGUUCAUCAAACAUACAGCACCACAAAACAGCGCGUGCAGUCCAAAACAGCGAUUAAUAAAUUUCAGCUCCUAUACAACUCAAGAAUUGUCGCGUUCUAGAGACUUGAAUUAUUCUAACACUUUACCCUUUGUUAGAGCUAAAUUAAUCAAAUGAGGACUAACAAGUAGACUUACAAAUUUUAUUCAAGUCAUUUAGUGCACUAAAACUACUACAACCAAUCAACGACGCAUUCUCCCCGAUAAUCACCCAACCAUUUGCGGUUUCAAUUAGACCCCACAUGAGCACUACUACUUUUUACCCGUACCCAUAACCAUACACAUUUAGACCACAACAAGCCAUUCGCUGUGAUUACGAGCUUAACCAAGUUAUCUAACCAUUCGGUUAACUAGAGCAACGACAUCGCCGCUAAAUAACGUACACGUCAACUUGCCUUUUAUUGCCGCAAUCCGAGACACAACAUAUACUACAACAUUUUUAUAAACCCACAGAUUCACAAGUAUAUUCGCACACCGACCAAAUCAUACGAAUCGUAAACUACUAGUCUCCAACUCACAAUCACCAUGCAUUUACUCCCCAAUCAUGAACACAUACAUGUUUAUCAUACGAACAGAGCAUUUCAAUAAUUAUCCUAAAACAAUUAACUCCAUUACACAACUCAUACACAAACCUACUUGACUUGCUUGAAGUGUCUACUCGAAUCCGUGAGCACAAUCACACAUUAUAUGCGAAGCAUAAUUUAACGAACACAAAAUACGCAUCGACUCGAUUCAACUUAUAAAUAUUGAGAAAGCGAUGACUACUUCGGCAUGUCACCACCUCUCUAAUUAAGCAAACACAAUUUCCUACUUCGACUAAGACUUAUAGGUAUUAAGCACGUUAUUACUUUCUAUGCGCAAAUAAACCUCAACUUAGCACAAGUGACACCGAUGGAUUUUUACUAAACUCACCAUGCGCAUAACCUUGUCUCGCAUACAACCAUAUAGUGGCGUGCACUCGAGACACUUCAAUCAACGUGGCGCGACCACUAAUAUAUAAACUCCGACACUCAUGUUUUAAUAAUUUAUCCUCUACGCAACUAGCAUUUUCUAAACUACUCGUCACAUCAAUAAAUAUACUCCCUAGAAAAUCAUGAAUCCCAUCACAAUGCAUAAAACAAUUAUACUUUUCACAUAAACGCAUACCGAUACAUUUCCCAAAACUUAACCCGCAUUUUAUAACUUAGUUUUUUGCAUCAAACCACACAUCACAUAUUUUUCCUACCAAGAUAUAAAAACAGCCGAGUUCCUUUCUUCUUCGUUUUCUUCUCUACGCAAAAUUCAAUCCAUAUCAACACAAUUUUUAAACAUGCACCACAUCGACCAAAACAUAAUUAGACAACUACAAAUCGCAUACAUCACAUAACCUUUUGUUCUCCAAUCGCAAAUGAGAUCCUACCAAUGCGUAUAACCGAAACAUUUUACACACAUCCAUUCAAAUAAUUAAUCGAGUCGAUCGAGAGCGACAUGCAUCAGCUCACCAUAAACAAACCCAAACGGUGUUUGCAAGAAUGACGGUGAUUCCGAUUUGUGCAUUGCUCCAAACAUCCGACGAGCGUCGAGCGGCUUGCCUUCUCCACGCAAAACACGGGGUUCUCUCCUCCACAAAAAUAAAACAAAGCAGCACACAUACAUAAUUAAUCACCGAAGAACAUUGCCAAUACGGAAUCAAACAAAGGUCGUCGUCGUCUCACCGAGGUGAACGGCGUCGAUGUUGGGGCUGCGCAGAUCCGGUGAAGCACGCAGUGCGGAGGGGAUCCGGGGCCGCUGUUUUGGAUCGGCACCGCUGCGCAGCGAAGUUGGACGCCAAGGCCACGAGCAGGGGCUUCUUGCUGCUGCACAAGGGGAAAAGAAGGAGGGGGGGGGGGCGAGCAGAGCUGCUGCUCGGCCAUGGGAGAGAGGGGGC